GCNANGCUGGCGGCGUGCCUAUCAUGCAAUNUCGAGCGNACAGAUGGGAGCUUGCUCCCUGAUGUUAGCGGCGGACGGGUGAGUAACACGUGGGUAACCUGCCUGUAAGACUGGGAUAACUCCGGGAAACCGGGGCUAAUACCGGAUGGUUGUNUGAACCGCAUGGUUCAGACAUAAAAGGUGGCUUCGGCUACCACUUACAGAUGGACCCGCGGCGCAUUAGCUAGUUGGUGAGGUAACGGCUCACCAAGGCGACGAUGCGUAGCCGACCUGAGAGGGUGAUCGGCCACACUGGGACUGANACACGGCCCANACUCCUACGGGAGNCAGCANUAGGGAAUCUCCCAAUGGACNAAAGUUUGACGNACCACCCCCCNUGANUGAUNAAGGUUUCCGAACC
rnacentral:rRNA from 1 species